UACGUAGGCAGCAAGCGUUGUUCGGAAUUACUGGGCGUAAAGAGUGUGUAGGCGGUGCUCUAAGUUCGGUGUGAAAUCUCCCGGCUCAACUGGGAGGGUGCGCCGGAAACUGGAGUGCUGGAGCGCGGGAGAGGAAAGCGGAAUUCCUGGUGUAGCGGUGAAAUGCGUAGAUAUCAGGAGGAACACCGGCGGUGUAGACGGCUUUCUGGACCGUAGCUGACGCUGAGACACGAAAGCGUGGGGAGCGAACAGG
rnacentral:rRNA from 1 species